rnacentral:rRNA from 1 species
UCCACGCAGUAAACGAUGAAUGUUAGUCGUUGGAUAGCAAGUCUAUUCAGUGAUGCAGUUAACAGAUUAAGUGUUCCGCCUGGGGAGUACGGUCGCAAGAUUAAAACUCAAAGGAAUAGACGGGGACCCGGCACAAGUGGUGGAGCAUGUGGUUUAAUUCGAAAUACGCGAAGAACCUUACCUAGCCUUGACAUUGAAGAAACACACUAGAGAUAGAGUGGUGCCCUUCGGGGAAUCUGAAAACAGGUGCUGCUGCUGUCGUCAGCUCGUGUCGUGAGAUGUUGGGUUAAGUCCCGCAACGAGCGCAACCCUCGUCCUUAGUUGCCAGCAGGUUAAGCUGGGCACUUUAAGGAGACUGCCUUCGGUAAGGAGG